GCGACCUGUUUUCGAAAGAUGACUGGGAGUAUUGUAACUUCAGUCAACAGCCCUUUUAAGGACUACACUAACCUGGACGAUGUACAUUUACAAAACAUGUUACGAUAUUCCCAUGCUCAACAACAAGAAAUUUACCAAAAAUAUAUUAUUUCCAUAUGCUUAUGAAAUACAUAAUCAGGCAAUCAGCCGAAACAAUUUAAUUAUGAAAUUACAUUACAUUACCAAAAUUAUAAUGUUAGGGUAGUUAUAAUACUGGUGCUAGUCGAACAAUAACUCGGCGUAUAUAAACUUAUGAACGAUCAAGUUAUAUUACAAAAAAUCAAAAGAUUCCAAGAUUCCAACAUUUCAAGAUUCCAGAAUUCCAAGGUUCCAAGAUUACAAGAUUCCAAAUUCCAGAUUCCAUGUUUUACAAUUUACCGAGUGUAAACUACUUGACACAUGGGUAAUAAGUGGCAUUAUGUAAAUCUAACUUGACCAUACGUUAUAAUUUAUAACCAUAUUCGUCUGUCGUAUGCCAAGGUCCAUACUAAAACGAGGUUUACUAUCUCUCAAGCAGUCGUUUGAAAAUCUAUCACAAAACAUUCAAGAUGAAUUUACCACUACUGGCAUCAGUCAUGCUGAUAUUUAGUACUUCCAUCGUCGAUUCGGCUGCUGGACGUAAACAUUCAAAAGGGAAUUUAAAGCCCUUCCGUUUCAAGCCUGUCUUUUUUCAUAAGAAAUUGACGGAUUAUCUGAGCAAAAAAGUUGAAUCAUUUUUCAAGUUGUUAUUGGCGGGAAAGGUUCAGAAAGCUGUCAACAGCGUGUAUGCGAAGGAUAGCGUGUUUCUACAACAAAGUGCACCGGAAGCAAUAGGCAGGAAAGAUAAAAAAGACUGUUUGUUCGAAAGUUGAUUACAUGCAUAAAAACUGAACCUCGCACGCACGUCUGGUAGACUGGAGACUUAAAAAUAUUGCUUUCGCAUGUUUCAGGAAUAUAAAAUCACUUGAUUGAAGGAAUACCAUUGGCAAAUAUCACCACCAACAUAGACUUUAAAGUUGAACAGAUGAUAAAAAGGGGAAAUAUAGCAAUAUUAAGAUAUCGAGGACAUACUUAUGGAAAGAACAACGAAGUGUUAUUUACAAUCCGGUAAGCUUGUUAUAGCUCAUAUGUAAAAAGAAGCAAAAUUAAAGCGAACCUAAGUCAAAAAGUGAUUAUAAAAAAACUUUACUUUUUGUGGUAAAUUAGCCUUUGUUGACAUGUAACAUUCAUCUGUCGUAUUGAACUAUGAAUACGAAAUUUGUCUGCGUAGAGAUGUGAAUAAUCAUUAUUAUUCAAUAUGUAAGCAA